ACGGAAGGCAGCAGUGGGGAAUAUUGCACAAUGGGCGCAAGCCUGAUGCAGCGACGCCGCGUGAGUGAAGAAGUAUUUCGGUAUGUAAAGCUCUAUCAGCAGGAAAGAAAAUGACGGUACCUGACUAAGAAGCCCCGGCUAACUACGUGCCAGCAGCCGCGGUAAUACGUAGGGGGCAAGCGUUAUCCGGAUUUACUGGGUGUAAAGGGAGCGUAGACGGUUUUGCAAGUCUGAAGUGAAAUGCCGGGGCUCAACCCCGGAACUGCUUUGGAAACUGUAGGACUAGAGUGCAGGAGAGGUAAGUGGAAUUCCUAGUGUAGCGGUGAAAUGCGUAGAUAUUAGGAGGAACACCAGUGGCGAAGGCGGCUUACUGGACUGUAACUGACGUUGAGGCUCGAAAGCGUGGGGAGCAAACAGGAUUAGAUACCCUGGUA
rnacentral:rRNA from 1 species